rnacentral:rRNA from 1 species
CAAUAGCGUAUAUUAAAGUUGUUGCAGUUAGAACGCUCGUAGUCGGAUUUCGGGGCGGGCUGACCGGUCUGCCGAUGGGUAUGCACUGGUCGGCGCGUCCUUCCUUCCGGAGACCGUUCCUACUCUUAACUGAGCGGGGGCGGGAGACGGAUCGUUUACUUUGAAAAAAUCAGAGUGUUUCAAGCAGGCAGCUCGCUCUUGCAUGGAUUAGCAUGGGAUAAUGAAAUAGGACUUUGGUGCUAUUUUGUUGGUUUCGAACACCGAAGUAAUGAUUAAAAGGGGCAGUCAGGGGCACUCGUAUUCCGCCGAGAGAGGUGAAAUUCUCAGACCAGCGGAAGACGAACUACUGCGAAAGCAUUUGCCAGGGAUGUUUUCACUGA